GAUGCAAUCUGUUGAUCAGUGAAGCUUAAAAAAAAAAAAAAAAGAAAGAAAAAGUAGGAAGAUUUUUUUAAAAAGGACCUGUAAAUAUUGAACCCAUUUUCUCCAGAAUGCACCAAAGACAUGGUUUAAAAUGAUAAAGAAGCAGCAUAUGGGACAUGCCACACUUAACGCCCUAUGGGAUGAAACGAACAGAGGUGGACACAUGCUUUUAUGCUUUUUAUAAUAAUGAAGAAUGCUUCAGGGGAAUACAGGCCAGAAAGAAACCUGCUAAAUGUGAGCCGUUUGGAAUUUAACAUCAAAGAAACUUAAGAUGGCUAAUACAGGCACUAGAGCAGAGACGGGAGACGGAGGAGAGACAGAGGGAGGAGAGAUACAUGGCGCUGAUUGAGAGGGUCGGUCUAGGAAACGCACCCCAAGCACCAGCAAUACCCGUGAUGUCGCCUCCUAAAGCGCGGGCGCAAAAGAUGACUGCGGAGGAUGACUAGGAGGCGUACUUGUUUGCCUUCGAGCGGUUGGCCACCACCGUGUUAUGGCCGAAGGAGUACUGGGCCAGCCAACUGGAUCCCUGUCUGAUCGGGGAAGCCCAGGCAGCGUACCAGGCCAUGAUCAACGAGGAGGCUAGCCAGUACAACCUGGUCAAACAGGCCAUCCUCCAACGCCUGAAUAUCACGGGGGAAACACACCGGGUGCGGUUCCGGGAGUAUCGGAGGCCAUGGGAGACCCACCCCAGGGUGGUUGCGCAAAAACUCUGUGACCACAUGGUGCAUUGGCUCAAUCCUGCAGAAAAGACAGGUCAACAAAUGGGAGAAGCCAUUGUCCUGGAGCAGUUCUGCCAUGUGGUCGGCACCUAGACCCAAGGACGGACACGGCACCACAACCCAGCCAUCCUGGAGGCCGCCGUCAAACUGACGGAGGAUUUUGAGGACUCACAGGUCUCCGUAAAGACAGGACUGCUGACCCCUCUCGUCGCGCCAACCACCCGCUGACCAGAGCCAUCGCCUCUCCAGCUGGGAACCAGACCUCCCAGAUCACCGACCUCAAUGGGCUGGCCCACCUCCUUACCAUGGAGGCAGCGGUUGGCCCCCAGCUGGGGUAGCUUUAUGCUAAGGCAGCGGGACAGACAGCUAACCCCAGUGCCUUCUGUCUCGAUUGUCAUGAGCAUGGACAAAUCAUGGUGAUGUGCAAUCUGGCAUCUGAAGCAGGAAAACAAAGAAAGAGAGACGGAUCAAAAAAUGGGAAGGUGCAUCCCUGAAACGAGGCUGGGGACUGGUGUAGUCGGUACGCAGUGUGACUGAGUGGACGAGGUUACUGGGCCACUCAGGGCAGAUGUUACUCCAUCCCCUCUCAAUAUAGUGGACAUGCGGGGCUCAAGCACGGACCUAGUGUGGGACCAGAAAAAUGACCCCACACUGGUGCACGCUUGGGGACAGGUCCGGUCUAUUGAAGGUAAGGAUGUUGAAGGCGCUGGGGCACUAGUAUAUCCGCACUUCAUUAUCAAGGGUCAAUUACGGGCACAGGACAGCCUGUGAUACAAUUGAUGGUCCCCCGUCGUGUCAGCCCGAGGUCAUGAGGCUGGCGCAUGACAUCCCCUUUGCAGGACACUUGGGAGCCGAAGACAGGACUGCGUGAUUUCGGGAUAACACCAAUUUAAAAAGUACCGUACUUCCUGGGGCAGCAGUGUGGAGUAGUGGUUAGGGCUCUGGACUCUUGACCGGGGGGUCGUGGGUUCAAUCCCAGGUGGGCGACACUGCUGCUGUACCCUUGAGCAAGGUACUUUACCUAGAUUGCUCCAGUAAAAAAACCCAACUGUAUAAAUGGGUAAUUGUAUGUAAAAAUAAUGUGAUAUCUUGUAACAACUGUAAGUCGCCCUGGAUAAGGUCGUCUGUUAAGAAAUAAAUAAUAAAUAAUAAUAACUGGCUGAGAAAGAGAGAGAGGAGAGCAAGUGCCUUCUACGAUGCCCCCGAACUAUGCCAUAAAGGCUACAUUUAAUAUGAUUUGUUGAAUUUAAAUGUAUGUUUGUUUUGUGUGUUGGUGGUGGUUGGCAGGGAUAGGGUUAAUUCCUAUCCCUGCCAAAAACAUGGGAUAUAAGGGGAGAAAAAUUAUUUUGCUUGGGGUUGGUGUUUGGAAAGAGGUACCUACCUACCUACCUACCUAUGAGAGUGAGUGAGAGGAGAAAGAUUUAAGAAAAAUAAUUGCUACAUGUGCAGGAAGCACGGUACUUUUUAAAUCGGUGUCAGUGUUCAUGUUUUUGUGCAAACAUUUAUUUUACUCUGUGAGCAGUGUUUUUUUUUUUUUGUACAACCUGGUUAUUUUAUUUUUGUUUAAUAAAUACGUGCACUAGCGCUUUUCACUCGCAAGUACCUGUCUGCCUCUAUCAGCUUUCUGGUCUGGGGACGUCAUCUUCACACAGCCAUCCUGUCACAUUGCCAUUAAUGUUUUAUUAAAAGUCAGAGUUUAUAUAUAACAUGACAAGAAAGGGACAUGGUUUUGAAAGGAUUGAUAUUAAAAUAAAAUAUUUACUGCUACAGUAUAUGAACAUAAGCACAGUUUCAUGUAAUAUGCAAUAAAUUAAUGGCACUUAAAAAUCAACUGACUACAGUACUUCAUUUUUCUUCUGUUGAAAAAACUAGCUGACCUGAAAGACACCAUCCAUUGGGAAAUAUUACAUACUGCUGCUCUCAAGGAAAGAAGCCUUCCUCAAGACUGCUGGCUAUAUUACAUCCAUUAAGCAACACUUUUUGACCACAGCACCUCCCUGAUAUGUCAGCCUAGAAUGUUGUUUCCCAUUAUCUGAUGGACUGGUGCCUGAAUGUAAUAUUUUUUUUAAAUUUGAUCAUUGCUUUUGUGUAUUUUAUGAUUGCUCUCUUUUGAAUGAGACUAAUUUCAGGUUAAACUUAAAAAUCAUUGUCAUAAUUGGCAGCUUGCCAAACCUCAUCCAGCAGCUGAUUAACCUGUCCUAUUAAGCAUUUAAUUUGUUCUGCUCUCUUAAAAGCCAUAGUGAUGGAUCUCUGCUCUUUGCCGCACAUACUCAUACACAGACAUUUUUAUACACUGGAUUGAAAGUGGUACUGAAAACCUUUAGUUCUGGCUGAUUAGCAAGUUAAGAUCUUAAUAUUUAUUUGAGUGUCCUAUUGAAUUAGUCUAAAGUAUGCAGCGUGUUUUACUAUUUACAGAAACCAUGUUACUUUAAAAGUCAAGUAACCAUGUGAACACUGAGUCACAACAAUAUUUUUAUUUAGACUUUAAUGCAGUGCUUUGCAUACUGAAUUCAAGAAUGUAAUUGUAAACAGUCUACUGGUUAUACGUUUGUUCUGUAAACUUGAGAGAAAGUCAUAACAACUAAAUUAUACUUUAUGUAUGGCUGUCCAUUAACUACACGCAUUCAGAAUAUGGGUAUAUAGGAAAAAAAUGAUUGACAUUCACCUGCUUGUAAAUUCAAUUAUUCUUUUUUUGAAAUGUAAUGAAAAUAAUCAGGAAUUUAAAAAGAAGACUUUAAAAAAAUAACACAUAUACACAUGAACCAAAAAAAGUAAUCCUGAAAAAAUAAAUGAUUAAAGUAUUUUAAAUCUCUUCACAUCAUCAUUAUUUUAAGCCGUAAUAAGGACACUAGAACUGCACAUACUUUGUUCAUUAGAAGUUUGGAUCUGUAUUUUAGUGCAAAACAUCUUGAAAUUCUGCUUUGGCUAAAGUUUGAGAGACAACAUUUAUAAUGCAAGCAAAGGAACAAACAAAACUAGCUUAUAAGAAGUCUCAGGCAGGCAUUAUUUAUAGAAAUUAAAAUCCAUUUAACUGUACUCAAUAAGUUAAUUGUUUAAUAAAUAUAAUCAUAAGAGAUUGCCUUUGGUCAAUAUAGGGCAGUGAACAUCCCAUUUUUUUUUCUUUUAGUUAAUUAAUAAACUGGUCUCAUCAGUAUCAGAGCUCAGUCACAAAUUCCUGGUGUGAUCGUGUGCAUGUCAGUUGAUGUCCUUGUGGCUCAGACCCACCCUGCUGUAAAAUUAGGUAGACAGAAGCCAACUGAAAAUGAGAUGCAGCACCCCAGUAGAAUCUCAAUCCUAGAUGAAUGUUAAAGCAACGAAAGGGCAUUAGCAGGCAUUUUGUUGUAUUAGCUGUAUUAACAUUAUUACUGAGCCCCCUUUUAUUGUGCUCAGAAUAUGUUGUUUCUUUUUUGUUUGGUUGUGUUUUUUUAAUCCAGGACACUACAACACUGCUUGAUCCCGGUACCUGUGAUGUAGGUAUGCAUCAUCUGGUUACAGUUAGGCCAUUGGCGUGAGUAUGAACUGCAACACAUGAGGCCAUUUCCUACCAGAAAGAAGGAGCUGCUUUUCAUCUAGGGCAUUGUAUUUUAAAACAUAUGCCUAUUCCAAAUGAUCAAAAAUGAAGGAUUAUAUUGCGAGUGAUGAUCAGAGGUAAUGGUUUGAAAAAAUCCUAAUAUUAAAGCAACAUAACUCAGAACCAUUGUGAACGAUUGCAAACAUUGUACAUACCAUUUGUAGCACUGGUUGUUGAUUCGUCCAGUACGAAAUGCUCUGGAAACGAAUAGCAAUUCUGGAAUCUGAUAGUGACUAUAUGAAAUAUGAAAAGUGGAUGUUCCUGGACAGUUUUGCUCUGGAUAAUUCAACAAUAUGCAUGUGUACCUUAAAAAACAAGAAUUCAAAGAACAGAAUAAGAUGUAAAAACCUCUUAUUAGAAUUCUAACAGCUCCUUUAUUGUUUUCCUGUAGACAUUUUGUUUUCCUAACCUUAAUUCAGGUGGCACAAAUCUUUAGGGUUACAGAUAACAGGACCCUACUCGAGCAGUACAUUUGCAUUUUAUGCUCCAUAGCAAACUGGAUGAGGGGUCAGGUGGAGUGCUAUUACACCCAUGAAGUGAACUUACAGUGUAGUGAGUGGCACAAUAUUGGAAAUGAACAUUGCCCGAGCCUUGAUUAUAAUAAUAAUAAUAGAUAACUGAGUUUUUCCGUAGGACUAUCCAAUAUCCUACUAAUCUAUUUUUCUUCAACCAUAUGUUGGAUGGAACCUAUUUAUCCACGAUGCUAAAGAAUCUAGCAAAUAAGAUUUAAAAAACAUUUAGCUUGCUGUGUGCAAACGUGGGUGGGAUUUUUUUUUUUAAAGUCCAGCUGUUAUCAACAGUUAAGUUCUACAAGUUGUGAAGUGAAGGUGGACUUCUAAGCACAUGUUUAAUGGAAAGUAGCAGUCAAGUUGACUCUUACUUUUCAGAAAAGCGCUUGUAAUAUGUGGGGUCUUUAUAGAUACGUAGCUGGAGAUUAACUCAGCGAACGCUUGGAAUUUACCAGAAUUUCAUGGGGCUUGACCAGGAUGAGGGGUGGAUUCAGUUCCAUCCAUUGGAUGUGGGAAUGCAGGGAGGCAAAGUUGGUUUUAUAUUUCGUGGUUUUUUUAUGCUGCAAUGUAGGCUUGCACUGUGGGGCCUGUUGCUUGUGUUCCACAUACAGUGUCAUGUCCUAAAUGGAGUUGAUAUAGUGGACAUGAAUGCAUUAAGAAUCCUCAGAAUUUCCCUCCCACUUAGAUUACUUAGAUUACAUUCUCCUUCUUAGACUUUGCAAAGUUGAUUAAAUAACUAUUCUAAAACAUCAUAAUGCUCAACACCAAUGAAAUAAAACUCUACUGCACAGCUCCAAGACAAAAAUACAAAGCAAUUCAAUAUAAAAUAUUCUAAAAUGAAUAAGAAAACGUUGAGGACCGUAGACGCAGUGGUCGGCCAAGGAAACUUACUGCAGCAGAUGAAAGACACAUCAUGGUACACCCAUCUACUGUCCGGAGAAGUCUGGUCAGAAGUGGCCUUCAUGGAAGACUUGCGGCCAAAAAGCCAUACCUCCAACGUGGAAACAAGGUCAAGCGACUCAACUAUGCACGAAAACACAGGAACUGGGGUGCAGAAAAAUGGCAGCAGGUGCUCUGGACUGAUGAGUCAAAAUUUGAAAUAUUUGGCUGUAGCAAAAGGCAGUUUGUUCGCCGAAGGGCUGGAGUGCGGUACACGAAUGAGUGUCUGCAGGCAACAGUGAAGCAUGGUGGAGGUUCCUUGCAAGUUUGGGGCUGCAUUUCUGCAAAUGGAGUUGGGGAUUUGGUCAGAAUUAAUGGUCUCCUCAAUGCUGAGAAGUACAGGCAGAUACUUAUCCAUCAUGCAAUACCAUCAGGGAGGCAUCUGAUUGGCCCCAAAUUUAUUCUGCAGCAUGACAACGACCCCAAACAUACAACGAAAGUCAUUAAGAACUAUCUUCAGCGUAAAGAAGAACAAGGAGUCCUGGAAGUGAUGGUAUGGCCCCCACAGAGCCCUGAUCUUAACAUCAUCGAGUCUGUCUGGGAUUACAUGAAGAGAGAGAAGCAACUGAGGCUGCCUAAAUCCACAGACGAACUGUGAUUAGUUCUCCAAGAUGUUUGGGCCAACCUACCUGCCGAGUUCCUUCAAAAACUGUGUGCAAGUGUACCUAGAAGAAUUGAUGCUGUUUUGAAGGCCAAGGGUGGUCACACCAAAAAUUGAUUUGAUGUAGAUUUUUCUUCUGUUCACUCACUUUGCAUUUUGUUAAUUGAUAAAUAUAAACUAUUAACAUGUCUAUUUUUGAAAGCAUUCUUACUUUACAGCAUUUUUUCUCACCUGCC